rnacentral:tRNA from 1 species
CCACAGUAGCUCAGUGGUAGAGCUAUCGGCUGUUAACCGAUCGGUCGCAGGUUCGAAUCCUGCCUGUGAGCCA